rnacentral:rRNA from 1 species
AAUCAACGCUGGCGGCGUGCCUCAGACAUGCAAGUCGAACGCGAAAGUCCCCUUCGGGGGACAAGUAGAGUGGCGCACGGGUGAGUAACACGUAGGUAAUCUACCUUCGGGUGGGGAAUAACCCCGGGAAACCGGGGCUAAUACCGCAUAAUGCAGCGGCACCUAAUGGUGACAGUUGUUAAAGCGGGGGAUCGCAAGAUCUCGCGCCUGAAGAGGAGCCUGCGGCGGAUUAGCUAGUUGGCAGGGUAACGGCCUACCAAGGCGACGAUCCGUAGCCGGCCUGAGAGGGCGGUCGGCCACACUGACACUGACAUACGGGUCAGACUCCUACGGGAGGCAGCAGUCGGGAAUUUUGGGCAAUGGGCGAAAGCCUGACCCAGCAACGCCGCGUGAAGGAUGAAAUCCCUCGGGAUGUAAACUUCGCAAGAACGGGAAGAAUAAGUUUGUGCUAACACCACAAGCGAUGACGGUACUGUUUGUAAGCUCCGGCUAACUCCGUGCCAGCAGCCGCGGUAAUAC